UAGUGUGUUAUUUGACCCAGAGGACCCCCAGAACAAUGCAACGUUUGUGGAAUGUUUUAAAUAAAGUUAUGGUUAAAAAAAGUCAGUCACAGCGCACAUGUUUUCAAUAAUAAGCCCCGCCCCAAACAUUUCAAGCUUUCACACCGGAUUGGCUGACCGUUGUGCCACUAUUUAAACUCCUGUGUUGACAGCUGCACCAGAGGGAGAGGAGAUGCUGACAGAUCACAGAUCAUCAACGCAAACCUGCUGCAAACCCGGACUGGUAUUCAUGGACGGACUGAACUGGAUUCGGUUUGCUGGUGAACUCUUAAGGGUUAAGAUAUGACAGCAGGACCAGGCGCACCUUCAACCAGUGGGAGGGCCAAGCUGAAGUGGACCAGGACCUGCUUCUUCUGGGAAAUGGACCUCCUCUACUUCAAAGAGCAGACAGUGAGGAACAUUGUGGGAUGUAUACCUGCGUCUUCUCAGGUCUGCAGAGUCUACACAUGGUUCCGUCAAUAAUGUGUAAGCUGACCAUUCGUGCCAGUAUUCAAACUGCUGACAGAUCACAGAUAAUCCUGAGUUUAAUCCUUUGCUAAAGAGAGGAAAGUAAGAGUGGACGUAUUAUUGAUACAAAAUCAUCCACCAUUACCCCUCAUCACCAACUACCGUUUACUUGGAAAUAAAAUAUUGGAACUUGGAAAGCUGCCUGGAUCCUGUGUUUAAAUGUGCACCCAACAUAUGAUGUUCAGUGAAUCACCGCCACUAUAGUGUACAGUUUUUUCAUAUUUGUGUCUCCAUCAACAUAUGCAGCGCACCUUUGCACUCAGGCAUGAAGAAACUGGGAAUUCAGCUCCUCCUUGCCAAACUAAAAGAGACACGACCUGCACUCUUUAGUGAAGCUCAACUCUACAGUGAAUUCCACAGAAUCACCAAUCCAUAUCUACCAUUGUCCUUCUACACUGCACUUGACAAAUAUGCACCCCAGCUGCUGAAACUUGAACAGAAGAGGAAGACUGGAAGUUUUGGAUGAGUUGGAAGCAACCCAAGAGGGGCAGUGGCUCUGGUGGCAGUAGUGAAUGAAGAUCAGGUUCCUGCUGGAGUUCCCUUUGAAACUCACCAUGUGUCUCUGGUCCUCACAAUCAGAUUAUUGUGAAAUGGCUACAGUGAAACUCAGAAUCAUCCUCGGGGAUAAACGAUUCCCAGAGACUGACCCUGCAAGAUGGGCUUCCAGAGACUGUUGGUGAACUUGUUCAGAACAUAAAGAGGGGUAGAGGAGCACUUCAGGCUGCAAUUUAUGGAUACGGAGUUUGGCAGUGAAUUUACCAACUUGACUUCAAUGUCAGAGAUCCAGGACAAAAGUACCUUAAAACUUGUCUUUGAUUCAGCUGCCUCUGUCCUGCCUGGUGGUUCACCCCCUCCACCCUACUCCACUCCUGCCACAUCAGGGUCUGGUAAUGAGUCAUCACUUUCAUCUGGUAGCUUGUGUGAUAUUUACAGAUAUUUUGUCUUCACCUGAGUCCAUCCCUUCAAGAUCCUCUGGAUGGCCUGUUGUUUUUUUUCUUCCUCGAUUCCCAUAUGAUUGUGAGCUGCAGCUGGACAGAGCCAAUACUGCAUUCAAAGAGAGCGGAACUUUAUUGAAUCCAGACAUGAGACUUAAAACUGCCAUUCUUGACAGUUUAGCUGAAGAAAUUGUUAAAUACAAAGUGUACCCCUCAGACAAUGAGGUUGAAGAGGUUGCCGAAGCCCUUGUGUCAUCACAUCCAUGUUUGAAAGAGCCAGGCUCUGCCACUGGAUAUGGUGGCUGGAAGGUGAGCUUAAAGUACAAACUUGCCAACUACAGGAGGAAGCUCAAGCGGCUUGGAUGUCCAGAGGUGGAACUGAAUUCCCUGACAAAUAAACCUGUAGACAAAUGCACUCCUGCUUAUGGUGUAAAGAAGCCCAGAAGAGCCCAAGUAAAUUACUGCCCCACCUACCCAUCUGGUGAAUCUGCAGAGACACUUGAAAAGAUAAGAGAGAACCUGCUUUUAGACGUAAGGAAAAGGAACAAUGAGGACACACUGGCAGCAAUGAUGGAGAAGACCUUUGCACACAGAAGGCAAGAAGUUAUUCGUGAUGCACCCUUAAUUGCGGAUUACAAAACCAGAUGGCCAGCUCUCUUCUGUGUACGUGAGCUAACUGCUGAAUUCAAGAGGAUUACAACCGUCAGUUUGCUGUCCAAGUUCUUCUCCAAGCUGGAUGCUCACUCUUCGAAGUUGAUGAGGGUGUCUGGCAAGAAAGGUGGCGUUCAAGGAUGAAAAAUUAGGAGCAUCAUGUUACCCAUCACCCAGACAGUCCAGGCACAUUGGAAAUCUUGUACGGGUUCUCCGAGUCAGUUGUAGAAGUGAGUAUGUCCUAAAUACUCAGACUGAUGCCAUUGAUGUCAGAAGAGAGUGCAUCAUCAAAGCCCUGUGUGUGUACCUGAAUGAAGAGCCCAAGAACCUUGUGAAAGAAUACAUGAACACGGAUGGUCAAAGCAUUGAAGCUGCAAUCACGGAGACUACAUUUGGAAUCUUUGUCAUUCGCAAGGAAGGCGAGGAGCCAGAUGUUGGACCGGAAGAUGUAGGUAUUGUUCUGGAGGGUGUGGAAGUUCUGCAUGAGUUGGGAAACAUACCACUUGCUGUGGUGAUGUUGUUCGCGCUUGUUUAUGCUCUUGACCUCAGCUACCCGCCAGAACUGAGAUACACAUUUGAAGCUUUCCAGAAGAUCAUCUCCAUGAUGAUCUUCUUGAUGGAAACGGACUCUCAAAAAAAAAUCAAACACUGAAAACUCUACUUGCACGUUAGUCAUCCUCAAUAGAGUAAACUACAGAUAGGGUUACUCUUAUGGGAAGGUAUUUGAAGCCAUUAGAGAAUUUACUAAAAUCGGAAGCUGUGUUUUUGUUUUAAUACUUCUGACUGUUUCUAUUUUGGGGUUACACAUUAAAAUGGUUUGAAACAAAGGUAGGGUUAAAAAAAAGUGUUCUUUUCAAAAGGAAACUACUUUGACACUUGAGAUAUAAGUAUGCACAAUGCAGUAUUUUCAGUUUGUUCUCAAACAUUUUUCUUUGCACUCAGUUGCCAGGACCACUUUCUGCAUAUAGCUUUGUAACCAGCUUUGAUUUGAUUGUUUUUUUUUAGUCAGAAAGCACUAAAUAUAAAUGUAACAUGUACACUACCCUAAUAAGGUACAAUUAGUUUAACAGAUAGCUAUUAUUUAGAUGCGUUAUAGCUUCGAAAGUCUAAGGUUUGGGCUGAAUUCAGAAGAACAGGUCUGACUCUAGGAGUGGAGAGGAAGACACAGAACGCAGUUUAAGUUUGGUGACACCAUAUAAUUGUGAACCAUUACCAGAAUUAUUUAACAAAAUACAAAUGGCCAUUCAUAUACAACAAUACAA